rnacentral:tRNA from 1 species
GCUUUGAAGGCUCAAAAGUUAGAGCGUCUGGUCUUGUAAUCCAGAAGAGAGGGUUAAACCCCCUCUCAAGGCU